ACCAGAGUGGCUCAGUGGGUAGAGCGUCGGCCUGCGGACUGAAGGGUACCGGGUUCGAAUCCGGUCAAGGGCA
rnacentral:tRNA from 1 species